GGUUAACGCUAGCGGUGCGCCUAACACAUGCAAGUCGAGCGGGAUUAUUUGGAAGCUUGCUUCUAGAUAUGAGAGCGGCGAACGGGUGAGGAACACGUUGGAAUCUGCCCCCAAGUCAGGGAUAGCGAGACGAAAUUCUCAUUAAUACCGGAUAGUCACUUAGGAUUAAAAAUAUAUUGCUUGGGGAAGAGCCUGCGUUCUAUCAGCUAGUUGGUGAGAUAAAAGCACACCAAGGCUAUGACGGAUAACUGGUCUGAGAGGAUGAUCAGUCACACUGGAACUGAGACACGGUCCAGACUCCUACGGGAGGCAGCAGUGGGGAAUAUUGGACAAUGGGCGAAAGCCUGAUCCAGCCAUGCCGCGUGUGUGAAGAAGGUCUUCGGAUUGUAAAGCACUUUAAGUCGGGAGGAAGGGCUGUAGGUUAAUACCCUGCGGUUUUGACGUUACCGACAGAAUAAGCACCGGCUAACUUCGUGCCAGCCGCCGCCGUAA
rnacentral:rRNA from 1 species